UGCAUCUACUCCUUCUCCAUCUACUCCUUCGUAUGUCGUACCCGAGAAACCCUAAUAGUGUGGCUGCCAAUCUUUAUCCUUUUCUCCAUUUUGUCGCCUUCAAGCUCUGAAUUAGGGUUUACUUUGGAGAUAAUUUCAAUUUAUUUAAACCAAACAUCCCAGCUCUUCAACCCUAAAUCCACCGCUGCUACUCCGCCUCCUUUCUCCGGGCUCCGCCGCUCUUCGAAGAUCGACUCGGCUUCACUCUCCACAAUAAAGAAGUUCAAUUCUCACAUAUGUCUCUCCUCUUAUUCUACACGACCUUACACCUUCAAAGUGACCAAUCACCAUGGACAGUACUGAGAAGGUAUACACAUGCUUUUUCAUCUUAUUCUGGAUCUCGCCUACGAUUGAGUGUUCCUAGUCUCGCUCCACCUCCGGUCUACCCAACUCCAUCGAUCUACUUCCGGUUCCCCUUUUUUAAACCUAGAAGGUGAUUUAGGGUUCUAUAUACCAUUUCAAAGUCAUCUUAUGAAAUCAACAUUCCCUCAAUUUCGAUAUGAUGUAGGUAAUACGUGACCAACUACAAGUCUCUCUUUCUUUCUCUCUCCAUCACUCUCUCUCUCUCUCUCUCUCUCUCUCUCUCUCUCUUCUAUAUAUACAUAUACAUACUGCGUAUUUUUUUUGAUAACAUCGAUCUAAUACACAGACUAAACACUAGUAAUAGAGGUGAAAGAUAUUCUAGUUAUGGAGCUUCAGAUCUUAGAAGGUUUACAGUGGAAGGUACGACCAGUGACAUCCAGAAUGAAGUUUCUCGGGCAAUUGAGUUGAGGGAAAUUGUAACCUCUUUGGGUCCUGCAUACUUCAAACGUAGGCAAGCAUUGAGCAUUAGGCCAGACAUUGCCAUGGCACUUCUAGAAGAGGCUAUGGUGCUAAUGCCCUGACUAAUGUGAUUAUUGGAAUCAGAAGAAUGAUGCACAUCGAUACAUUUUACACUGUCUAACCACACUUCAAUGUGUUUCCCAGUGCACUAUAUACAUAUCUAUCUCAGAGACAGGUCACUUAGCUUACCCGGAUCACCUUUAGGACCAGAUGCUUAUCAUGAAUAUCAAAUCUUACUUGUCCAAGAUUACAAGGAACUCAAGAAGAAAAACAAUCAAAACUCUAUACACAAACCUAAGGAGAAUCCCAUCUUUGAAGAUGAAGGGUGGUUGCAGCUUACCCCCAUGAAGCUGAUACCCCUAAAUCCCAACCUUUUUCCAGUUCUAAAGAUACUUAUGAUGGAGGACCUAAAUUAAUGGCUUAUGUUCAUCACUUCCCGUUGAUUCUAUCCCCCUUUUUCACCAAAGUUCUUUGUGAUACCAUCUGAAGGGUCAAUUUUUGAGGCAUAUUUAUCAGGUGAUCAAGAGAAUUCAAUUAUUUCAGAGCUCACAACUUCUCCUAUAGUAGCAGCCUCACUUGGGCAGGUGUAUAAGGGUAGAUUAAAGGAAAAUGGGGGAUUUGGUUGCUGUGAAGGUACAAAGGCCUUAUGUACUUGAAACAGUAACUGUUGAUUUAUUCAUCAUAAGGAACUUAGGAUUGGCUCUUCGAUGUUUUCCUUAGAUUUCGACCCCCCUGUUUAUGGGAAAAAGAUUGCAGUUAGUUUAAUAGUAGCGAUUGUUAGUGGAGGAGUGUUUUUUUUGUAUUUUUAAUCAUACUUAUCUUGUGGAGAAAAGGCUUCUUUACGGGUAAAAAUGCGAAAGAUAGAGAGCUCAAAGGUCUGGAUCUGCAAACUGGAAUAUUCACUCUAAGACAGAUAAAAGCUGCAACUAAAAACUUUGAUCUGUCAAACAAGCUUGGCAAAGGUGGUUUUGGUGCUGUUUACAAGGGUUCAUUAUCGGAUGGGUCAAUCAUUGCAGUGAAACAACUAUCAUCAAAGUCCAAACAAGAUGUGGUACUUGUUAACUUAGGCAUGCCAACCAGUUCAAGAACAUUUGCAAUUUUUGCUCCACCCCAUAUUGCUGACACAAUCACAACAAAACACAACUUAGUGAUUGUUUCUUGUAUGGAGAAGAGAUGGUCAGAUGGAGGAGAUUGUAUGUCUCAGGGUACCCUUCAAAACUUAAUACAAACUCAUGACAGCAGAAAUUGCAGCUUCUGACAAGAGCAAACUCAGUUUGUGCUUCAUGUUUAUCUUUAGGGGGGAACGACAAUGCAAGGGCGUUCUCAUCAAAAAGGUGGUUGGAAUUGGACCUAAAGUUGGUUGCUGAUAUAGGAAUAGUGGGUGCUCCAAAUGCAGGAAAAAACAUGUUUUUAAGUGUUAUUAGUGUUAGACAUGUAGUGUUGUUUGACAUGUAAUGCUUAGGUAACUUGUUUGA